UGUAAUUACAUUUCAAUUUCCUUCUGGCAGCGAGCUCGAUAAGCCACGUCGCGAACAUCUUAACCAUGUGUCUUCUAACCAGGACUAUUUUCCUUCUUCUUCAAUGAAUGAAACAGUUAGAUUGGUUAGGAGUAAGCUUGACAAGGUACAAUCAAGCAGAGAGCAUAUGCCAAACCCAGCAUUAAAGAAAGCUCGGAUAGAUAAUAGAAGAAGGAUAUGAUUUUCUUUAACUAUCAAUGUUUAGGCUUUUGUUUGGAAUUCUUGUGGAGCAU